UACGAAGGGGGCUAGCGUUGUUCGGAAUCACUGGGCGUAAAGCGCACGUAGGCGGAUCUUUAAGUCAGGGGUGAAAUCCCGAGGCUCAACCUCGGAACUGCCUUUGAUACUGGGGAUCUCGAGUCCGGGAGAGGUGAGUGGAACUGCGAGUGUAGAGGUGAAAUUCGUAGAUAUUCGCAAGAACACCAGUGGCGAAGGCGGACCUUCGUGGACGGUGACUGACGCUGAGGCGCGAAAGCGUGGGGAGCAAACGGGG
rnacentral:rRNA from 1 species